rnacentral:tRNA from 1 species
GCUGGGGCUCAGUGGUAGAGCGCUUGCCUAGCACUUGCGAGACUCUGGGUUCAAUCCUCAGCACAACA